AAAUCAGGUAGGACUMCCCGCUGAACUUAAGCAUAUCAAUAAGCGGAGGA
rnacentral:rRNA from 1 species